rnacentral:rRNA from 1 species
UCGUCACACUAUCAUUAACUGAAUCCAUAGGUUAAUGAGGCGAACCGGGGGAACUGAAACAUCUAAGUACCCCGAGGAAAAGAAAUCAACCGAGAUUCCCCCAGUAGCGGCGAGCGAACGGGGAGGAGCCCAGAGCCUGAAUCAGCAUGUGUGUUAGUGGAAGCGUCUGGAAAGGCGCGCGAUACAGGGUGACAGCCCCGUACACAAAAGCGCAUGUGCUGUGAGCUCGAUGAGUAGGGCGGGACACGUGGUAUCCUGUCUGAAUAUGGGGGGACCAUCCUCCAAGGCUAAAUACUCCUGACUGACCGAUAGUGAACCAGUACCGUGAGGGAAAGGCGAAAAGAACCCCGGCGAGGGGAGUGAAAAAGAACCUGAAACCGUGUACGUACAAGCAGUGGGAGCACAGGUUUACCUGUGUGACUGCGUACCUUUUGUAUAAUGGGUCAGCGACUUAUAUUCUGUAGCAAGGUUAACCGAAUAGGGGAGCCGGAGGGAAACCGAGUCUUAAYYGGGCGUUAAGUUGCAGGGUAUAGACCCGAAACCCGGUGAUCUAGCCAUGGGCAGGUUGAAGGUUGGGUAACACUAACUGGAGGACCGAACCGACUAAUGUUGAAAAAUUAGCGGAUGACCUGUGGCUGGGGGUGAAAGGCCAAUCAAACCGGGAGAUAGCUGGUUCUCCCCGAAAGCUAUUUAGGUAGCGCCUCGUGAAUUCAUCUCCGGGGGUAGAGCACUGUUU